ensembl:lncRNA
UUCCCAGGACCCGUCUGCCCCCCCCCCCCACUUCGCCCCUGCAGUGCUUCACCACACGGUGUUCCCCAGGAGGGGCUCCCACGUAGGGAGGGCUCAAUCUGGUUUGAUUCAAAAGAGCCAAACUUCUCGGCCUUUUGGUGGUCCAGUGGUCCAUGUGUGGGGACAGCUGUGAGAGGAACUACAAAGAGGAGGAAGGUGGGAGUGAAGGAAAACAUGUGGAGGGAGAGAGAAAGGCAGAGACACACAAGCGUUUGCAGCCUGGCUCUGCAAUGGCGUGUAUGGAUAGCCUGCCUUCGUUAACCACCGCCAGCUGAAUAGGAAUCCUGUCUGUGUACCAGCUUGGCUGUGGCGUGUGGGUGGCCUUAGCGCUUACUUCUGGAAGCACCCGCAGGGGCCUCGGCCUGUGAGUCUCCUCCUGGAGCUCUGUGCUGUGCACAGGAUUGAACACAGGGUGGCAGUAACACCACAUCUGGCCUCCAACGCCCGCCCUGCCACCUUCGCCCUGUUCCCCCACACACAGCCUGAUGCAAGCUGGAAACACACACACACACAUUCACACACGGCUGUCUUCCAACCGAGGUGGUGACACGUUACCUCAUCAGGUGGGACCUGUGUUAGAUUGAGUUUGCCUCUUCUGUAGGCAUUGCAGGCAGGACAGGCUACGUGAGUUCCAGAGCCCAGUGCAAAAGGAGAAUGGAGGGCCCCUUGUUCAAAAAGCAGGAAAAAGAUGCUGUUAAGGGUAGUAAAAUAUAAAGCCAAGCUCAGUGAGACUGUACCUCAGGCGCCUCUCCCUUCUUGCCUGGGGCUUCUUGGAGGUUGACACGGGACACCUGAGGAACCAGGGCCUGCUCGGCGCUCACACACACACGGCUACCGAGUGCAAGCCAACAGACACCCGUGGGGAGCCCUGACGAUAGGGGAUGGAAGCCUAUGGAUAACACGUUUCCUAUGACGCCUCCAAGGUCUCAGAGAUACGGAGCAGCAGUCCCUAACAAAGUCACACACCCUGGUGUUGCUUUUUCCCCCUUUCUUGUUCCGCUGCCCUGACCCCUCACUCCUGCUCCCCGGGGUUGCUGCCCAAAUCUACUGCUUGCACAUAAACCUCUGACUUGGAUUCUGCUUUUGCGGGUGGUGGGAGAGUAGCAGGGGGACCCAGGCUAAGAGAGAAAUAUCCCAUCCAACAGAUCAUCCACAGCUUGUUGCUUCUACAUCUAAUCCUCUUUCACAUUUUCUCCAUUCCUGCUCCUGCUCCUCUGGUUCAGACCCUCUUCAUCGCUUGCCUGAACUAGUAAUAACUGGAUUCCUAACUGCUCUUUCUGCCUCCCUUUUUAUUUUACUUAACCCAUCGCCUUUCCCCAAAAACAUCCACCCUUUUCAGCUGCCAGAGUGAACUUUCUAAAACUACAGCUACUCCCCUUUAGUAGGUCCCCCUGCCUCCAGGGUGGUUCUCCCUCUGGAAGCCUUCAUUUCCGGCAACCUUUCCAUUCAGUUCGGUUUAUUUCAUCAAAUGCUUAAUUAACACCAGGCACCUAGCAGUUUCUGCCAUCCAAGGGGUGAGGAGCAGGCGACAACAUGGGUGAUGGGGGAAGAUGCUACAAAUUACCGAGGAGUGUCACAAUUUGUGUGCUCAAGACUUGGUCAUCCUGAGUUUCUAAAGAGAUACACAAAGAGGAGAGGAACCUGAGUUGCCUCAAGAAGAUGAUGGGAGAGUGAAGGGCUUUCAUGGACUUCUCUAAAAUACAGUCACAGAACCUGUGUCUUCUUCCUCUGUGAGUCAUCUUCAGGGACGAACAGUGGUGUCUCUCUUCUCUUUGAUUUACUGCCAUGAAGUUUGGGCGAUGCUGUAAUACCUUGUUUGUAUGAAGAAACUUCCAAUCCCCAGAGUGACCAAGAGAGGAAUUUCCAGUGGGAUGCUGGCAUCAUUUAAUGGCUGGCUCUCCAGAGACAAAAAGCUCUCUGCUGAUUUCCAUGGUAUAAGUACUCUCACAGUGGCUAAUUUUUAAGCUAUCAAUGUGACGUCACUGAGUGUGGAGCUGGGAAGAGUUAGGAAGAGAUGUGCAUAAUCGGCUCCCAAAAACCCAUAGGUGCCGGCUUCAACAUACGAUUGAAAUUUCCUUCCUACCAGGGUGGUGAGCAGCCCUGGCUGGAGGUCUCAGCCAGAGGAAGGAUGACCACCAACAGGGAGGCUCCCUCUCAAUGGCUCCGUCUCAAUCCAAAGACGUUGAGACGCCAUCAUUCCACUUACAAUGUAAAUCACUUCCUUCAUAGCCAAACAUUUUUAGAGAAUAAGAAUAUGUUAAACACCAAAACUCUAUUCCUUUUUGAGAAAAGCAAUAGAGAUGAGUUGUUCUCCCUGAAUAAGCCAGGGAUUCAAUGUUGGUGAUGGAGUUCAAUUUACGUAGGAUAUUUUUCCCACCAUCAUCAGCCUAGAGGGCAGGUCUCCUUGCAGAUGUCAGGGCAGCUUCAUCUGCGGCUAAAUUUGAAAACUCCCCUUGGAGAAUUUCAUAUCCCCUAGGUCACUGUACUCAGUUUUACAGUCCCCUUAAAGUUUUGCAGUCUGAAGGGCAUUAUCUGUGAAAAGUCAUGAAGUCUGUAUUGGUUAGAAUGAUUUGAGUACAAAUAACAAAGCACUUUGACCCAACCGGCUUAAAUAAUGAAGAAAUACAUUAUCUCCGAUAAUGAGAAGUCCUAAGGUAGGAAAACACCAGGGUUGGUUAAUUCAGAGAUUCAAGAAUGUCAUUAAGGAUCCAGAUUUCUCCCAUAUUCCUGCUCUGUCAUCCUUUGUCCUGUUUAUCUCCCCUCAUGGUUGUAAGAUGGCUGCCACUUUCUAGGCACGAAUGGCAACAGCUUUUGAAGAAGGACCAACUCUUCCAAUAGAGGAAAACUUUUCCAGAAGCUUCAUUGGAUAGAAUUGGGUCAAACAUCCUUUCCUAAAUCAAACCAUGUCAUAGAGACUGGAAUUACUAUGAUUAACUUAAAAUAAAUCGGAAUUUAACCAUGAGUUACAUUGGAGAGAGGUAAACACCCAGACAAAAUUGUGUUCCUGCUUGGUAGGCAAUUGUCAUCCCAAGGACUCUUCCACUAUUCUGAUCCUAAGAAUGUUGACGUGUACAGGUCAUUUGGUCCUUUUGGCUGAUCAGAGAUCCACUUGGAUCAGACCAAUGAACUUGAUCAGAAGCAAAUUAUGCUAUGUUUACUAAAUUGAUUAAACUCAAGAUCAGUUUAUCAAAAAAUAUUUGUUAAGGACCUAGUGGGAACCUGGCACUUAAAAGUUACAAUCAUUAAGCACUGGAUCUGCUGAUGAGUAGACAUGGACAACUGGACUUAGAGCUCUUAAUCAGCCAGCAGAAUAAGUAAAAAUUUCUUCAAGAUGAGGAGGGGUAAAUACUUUAAAAAAAUACAUGACUAUGGCUUUCAAUAAGGAUGCCAAGACAAUUCAUUGGGAGAAAGACCAGUCUUUCUAACAAAUGGAGCUGGGACAAUUGGAUAUCCACAUGCAAAAGAAUGGAGUUGGACCCUUACCUCACACCAUAUGCCAAGAUUAACUCAAAAUGGAUCAUUGACCUAAACAUAAGAGCUGAAAAUAGAAAAAAUACUUGGGAGAAAGCUUGUAAAUCUCAUGACCUGGAUUAGUCAAUGGAUUCUUAUACAUGACACCUAAAGCACAGGUAACAAAAGAAAAAUAAAUAAAUUGGGCUUCAUCAAAAUUAAAACUUCUGUGCUUCAAGGAUGCUAUUGAGAAAGUGAAAAGACAAUCCAAAGAAUGAGAGAAAAUAUUUGCAAAUCAUGUAUUUAUUAAGAGCCUAGUAUCCAGAAUGUAUAAAGAACUCUUACAUGGGCCGGCUCCGUGGCCGAGUGGUUAAGUUUGCGCACUCCGCUGCGGUGGCCCAGGGUUCGGAUCCUGGGCGCGGACAUGGCACCGCUCGUCAGGCCACAUUGAGGUGGCAUCCCAUAUGCCGCAACUAGAAGGACCUGCAACUAAGAUAUACAACUAUGUACCAGGGGGUUUGGGAAAUAAAGCAGAAAAAAAAAAAAGAUUGGCAACAGUUGUUAGCUCAGGUGCCAAUCCUUAAAAAAAAAGAACUCUUACAACUCAGCUAUAAAAAUACAAGUAAUCCAAUCAAAAAAUGGGCAAAGAAUUUGAAUAGACAUUUCUCCAAAGAAGAUAUACAAAUGGCCAAUAAGCACAUGAAAAGAUGCUCAACAUCAUUAAUCAUUAAUGAAGCACAAAUAAAACUUCAAGAUAUUACUUCACACCUGUUAGGAUGACUAUAAUAAAAAAGACAGACAAUAACAAGUGUCGUAAAGGACACAGAGAAAUUGAAACCCUUAUGCAUUGUUGGUGGGAAUGUAAAAUGGUAUAGCCACUUUGGAAAACCAUUUGACAGUUCUUUAAAAAGUUAAACAUAAAGUUACCAUAUGGCUCAGCAAUCAAUUUCAUUCUUAGGUAAAUGCCAAAAGAAAUGAAAACAUACAUCCACGCAAAAACUUGUAUACAAAUGUUCAGAGCAGCAAAAUUCAUAAUAGGCAAAAAAUGGAAACAAUCCAAGUUUCCAUCAGUGGAUGAAUGGAUAAAGAAAAUGUGGUAUAUCCACAUUAUGGAAUAUCAUUUGGCCGUGAAAAGGACUGAAGUAUUGAUACAUGCUGCUAAAUGGAUGAACGUUAAGAACAUUAUGUUAAGUGAAAGAAGCCAGUCACAGAAGAUUACAUAUUGUAUGAUUCCAUUUAUAUGAAAUAUUCAGUAUAGGUAAAUUCAUAGAGACAACAAGUAGAUUAGUGGUUGUCACAGGCUAAGAGAAGGGGAAAUGAGAAGGGACUAUUAAUGGGUAUGGGGUUUAUUCUUGGGUGAAAGAAAAUGUUCUCAAAGUAAAUAAUGGUGAUGACCACACAACCUUGUGAACAUACUAAGAACCACUGAAUUGUACACUCUAAAAGGUGUGUGAUAUUCUAUGGUAUGUGAAUUACAUCACAAUAAAAACAUUUAUAUGACUAUCUCAGGCCUUUGGGGGGAAAUAGGACAAAAAAUCAGCAAGCUAAUAAAUAUUGAGUUGGCAAAAUUUAUAAAACUCUUCUAUGAUUCUGAAAUUUAUACAUCCUAUUUUAUCUCCUCCUAUCUCCUUGGUCCAAAUGACUUAUUGUGCAGAUCAGUGGUUCUUAACCCUGGCUGCACAUUUGAGAAUCACCAUGAGCUUUAAAAAGAUAUGAUGCCUUGGCCUGACCCAUGGCCAAUUAAAUCAGUGUCUCUGGUCCCCCAGCAACUCUGGCAUCUUAUUUUAUUAAAAACUUCCAGGUGAUUCCCAUGUGCUGUCAAAACCAUGAAAUUAAAGAGUAGACCAAGAUCCAGGCAGCAGUGGGUCAUAUUACAACAUGAUUCUUUAGCUAAGUCCUUUUUUUUUUUGGUGAGGAAGAUUGGCCCUCAGCUAACAUUGGUUGCCAACCUUCUGCUUUUUGUUUUUCUCCCCAAAGCCCCAGUACAUAGUUGUAUAUACUAGUUGUAAGUCACCCCUGUUCUUUUAUGUGGGAUGCCACUACAGCAUGGCUUGAUGAGCAGUGUGUAGUACUGCGUCCAGGAUCCGAACUGGUGAAUCCUGGGCCGCCAAAGUGGAGUGCACGAACUUAAUCGCUCAGCCAUGGGGCAGGCCCCACUAGGUCUUUUUUCCCCCUUAAUUCAGGUUUAUUAAGAUAUAAUUUAUUUACAUUAAAAUUUACCAUUUUAAAGUAUACAGUUCAGUGAAUUUUGACAAGUGUGUGCUGUCCUAUGACAACCAACAAAAUUGAGAUAUAGAACAUCUCCAUUAUUCCCCCAAAUGUCUGUGUCUUUUAGCAAGCAAUCCCUUCCCCUCAUGUGUCAGAAGCACAUACUAGAAUACUAUGCAACAUUAAAGAGCGUGUCCUCGUAAGUACACGUAAGGAAAGAGAGAAAAAAUUUACUAUAUGAAGUCAAGAGCAAAGAGCAGAAAAAUUUCUAUAUAAUAUAACUUUAAUUAUUUUUUUAUACAUGUGCACAGGUAUAUACAUCUCUCCAUAUAUGUAUACACUUGUAGAAGAAAAAUCUGUG